UGGGGAAUCUUGCCCAAUGGGCGAAAGCCUGAGGCAGCGACGCCGCGUGAGGGAAGAAGGCCUUCGGGUUGUAAACCUCUUUCAGGAGGGACGAAGCUACUCGGGUUAAUAGCCCAGAGGGUGACGGUACCUCCAGAAGAAGCCCCGGCUAACUACGUGCCAGCAGCCGCGGUAAUACGUAGGGGGCAAGCGUUGUCCGGAUUUACUGGGCGUAAAGAGCGUGUAGGCGACCAGACAGGUCUGUUGUGAAAACUGGAGGCUCAACCUCCAGACGUCGACAGAAACCGUCUGGCUAGAGUCCGGAAGAGGAGAGUGGAAUUCCUGGUGUAGCGGUGAAAUGCGCAGAUAUCAGGAAGAACACCGAUGGCGAAGGCAGCUCUCUGGGACGGUACUGACGCUGAGACGCGAAAGCGUGGGGAGCGAACAGG
rnacentral:rRNA from 1 species